CUCGGUUGCUGCAGGUGCCGGUCGCUCUGCCCCCAGGUAGCGUUUAUGUAUAACUGCAGAGAGACGGUGUUGCACAACGUUCCGUCUCUGGAGUGAAUCGCAGAAGAGAACCAAAGUGGCGCGGUGGCAACCAUUGGAAACUCAGCUUUACAGAGAAAUGAAUGUCACUGAAGGGAAUAUAGCAUGAUCCAAUGAAACUGUGAAGUACUUCCAGGGACUUUGCCUAUAGAAAAAGAAGCACAGUUGGGAGUUCAGUGUUGAAGUCUGAAUAUUUCCUCUGUUUAACCUUUGGGUAAUCUGAGGAUAAGUAUGUUUCUGUGACUAUAAAGAAGGUUUUCUCAAUUCUCUCACUAGUGACUUCCUUUAUGUAUUGAUAUUGCCUUAUAUAAUCUUUUUAAAUUUUUAAACAAUUAUAAAAGACAUACAAAAAUUGUGCAUAUUAUUGGGGCACUAUAAGAUAUUUUGUUACAUAUAUACAUUGUAUGAUAAGUAAUCAGGGUAAAUAUAUUAAUCCUUUCAAACAUUUAACAUUUUUUAUAAUGAGAGCAUCUUAAAUAUUAUCACCUAGUUUUUAAAUAUAGAGAAAUAUGCUGUAGAUUAACAUUAUCUAUAGCCACUCUACUGUGAAAUGGAAAGCAAAACUUUGUACUCCUCUCUAGCCAUAGCCUAAUACCCAUCAAUCAACCUUUUCCCAUUCCUCCCUCCUCAUUUUCCCUCCUGAACUUCUGGUAACCAUCAUUAUAUUUUUAACUUCUAUGAGUUAGACUUCAGAUAUUUUUUAGACUCCAGAUAUUCAUGAGAUCAUGUGAUAUUUGUCUUUUAUGCUUGGCUUCUUUAAUACAAUGACCCCCAGUUUCAUGUAUGUUGUUGUAAAUCACAAGAUUUCACCCUUUCUAAAGUUGAGUAAUGUUCUGUUGUGUUUAUGUUUAUUUAUUUAUUUGAAAUACAGAGUUGGCCAGCGCUGCGGCUCACUUGGCUAAUUCUCCGCCUGUUGCAUUGGCACCCCAGGUUCUAGUCCUGGUCAGGGCGCCAGAUUCUGUCCCGGCUGCUCCUCUUCCAGUCCAGCUCUCUGCUGUGGCCCGGGAGGGCAGCGGAGAAUGGCUGAAGAGCUUGGGCCCUGCACCUGCAUGGGAGACCAGGAAAAGUACCUGGCUCCUGGCUUCAGAUCGGCGCAGCACACUGGCUGUAGCAGCCACUUGGGGGGUGAACCAACGGAAGAAAGACCUUUCUCUCUGUCUCUCUCUCUCACUGUCUAACUCUGUCUGUCAAAAAAAAAAAAAAAAAAAUACAGAGUUACAGAGAGAGAGAGAGAGAAAGAGAGAGAAUCUUCCAUCUGCUGGUUCAUUCUCCAAAUGACCACAACGGCUGGAGCUGGGACAUUCCAAAAGCCAGGAGCCAGAAGCUUCUAGAUCUCCCAUGAGUGUGCAGGGGCCCAGGAAUUUGGGCCAUCUUCCACUACUUUCUCAGGCCAUAGCAGAGAGCCAGAUCAGAAGUGGAGCAGCUGGGACUCAAACUGGUGCCCAUAUGGGAUGCCAGCACUGCAGGUAGUGGCUUUACCCACUUUGCUACAGCACCAGUCUCAUAGCAUAUUUUCUUUAGCCAUUCAUUGGGGGAUAGACACUCAGGUUGUUUUCCUUUCUUGGUUAUUGUGAAUAGUGCUUCAAUAGGCAUGGGAGUGCAGAUGUCUCUUUUACAAAUGCUUUCGAUUUCCCCUGGACACAUACCUAAUAAUAGGAUUGCUACAUCAUAUGGUAGAUCUAUUCUUAGUUUUUUGAGGAACUUCCAUACUGUUCUCCAAAAUAGUUGUGCUGAUUUACACACCCACCAACAGUGCACAUAGGUUUCCUUUUUUCCACAUUCUCACCAACACUUGUUACCCUUUGUCUUUUCGAUAGUAGCCAAUCUUACUGUGAUAUCUCAUAUGGUUUUAAUUUUCAUUUCCUUAAUGAUUAGUGAUGUUGAGUAUUUCUUCAUGUAUAUGUUUGAUAUUCAUGUUUUCCUCUGAUAAAUGUCUGUUUAGAUUUAUUGCCCAUUUUUAAAUUGGAUUCUUUGGAAUUUUUUUUGCUACUGAGUUGUUUCAGUUUGUUAUAUAUUCUGUAUAUUAAUCCCCAAUCAGAUAAGUACCUUGAAAAUAUUUUCUUCAUUCUGUAGGUUGUCUCUUUGCUCUGUUGAUUCUUUGAUGAAAUUUCAUUUAUCUAUUUUGGCAUUUGUUUCCUGCACUUUCGGGAUCUGAUUCAGGAAAUCCUUGUCUACUUCAAUGUCCUGAAGUGUUUUCCCUUUGCUGUCUUCUCAUGGUCUCAAAGUUUCAAGUCUUGCUGCUGGUGUUGCGGUGCAGUGGGUUAAGCUGCCUGUGCAUCUGGCAUCCCGUAUGAGUGCCAAUCCGAGUCUUGGCUGCUUGACGUCUGAUCCAGUUCCCUGUUAAUGCCCCUGGGAAAGCAGCAGAAGAUGGCUAGAGUGCUUGAGUUCCUGUCACCUAUGUGGGAGACCAUGGAUUGGAGUUCCAGACACUUAGCUUCUGCCUUGGGCUAGCCCUAGCCAUUUUUGGUGGAGUCUUUGGCAUUUUCUAUAUGUAAUAUCACAUCAGCUGCAAACAAUGAGCACUUCAUUUCCUCCUUUCCAAUUUAGAUUCCUUUUAUUUUUGGCUUUUGCCUUAUCACUGUAGCUAGAACUACCAGUACUACAUUGAAUAAAAUUAGUGUAAGUGGAUAUCCUUGUUUUGUUCCAAAUCUUAGAGAGAAAGCUUUCAACUUUCCUCAUUCAAUAUGUUAGCUAUUGGUUUGUUAUACAUACCUAAUUUGGUCAGGGCUUUCAUUAUGAAACUACCUUGAGUUUUCUUAAGUGCCUUUCUGCAUCUAUUGAGAAGAUCCUUUACUAUUUGUCCUUCAUUCUGUUGUGGUAUAUCACACUUACUGAUUCGCAUAUGUUGAACCAUCCUUGCAUACCUAGGAAGAAUCCCACUUGAUCACAAUCAAUGAUCUUGUUAAUGUGCUGUUGGAUUCAAUUUGAUGCCUUUUGUUCAGGAUUUUUGCAUCUGCUUUUAUCAAAGGUAUUGGUCUGUUUUUGUUGUUGCUGUUGUUGUUGUGUCCUUGUAUGGUUUUAGUAUCUAGGUAAACUUGGCUUUAAAAAAUGAAUUGGGGGGCCUGGCACUGCGGCACAGAGGGUUAAAACCCUGGCCUGAAGCGCCGGCAUCCCAUAUGGGCACCAGUUCUAGUCCAGGCUGCUCCUCUUCUGAUACAGCUCUCUGGUAUGGCCUGGUAUAGCAGUGGAAUAUGACCCAAGUCCCUGGGCUCCUGCACCAAUGUGGGAGACCUGGAAGAAGUUCCUGGCUCCUGGCUUCAGAUUGGCACAGCUCCAGCUGUUGCUGCCAUCUGGGAAAUGGGUCAGCGGAUGGAAGACCUCUCUGUCUGUCUACCUCUCUCUGUUACUCUGUCUUUCAAAUAAAUAAAAUAAAUCUUAAAAAAAAAAAAAGGCCAGAAGCCAGGAUCUUCUUCAAGGUCUCCCAAGUGGGUGCAGGGACCCAAGCACUUAGACCAUCUUCUGCUUUCCCAGGCGUAUUAGCAGAGAGAUGGAUUGGAAGUGGAGCAGCUGACACUUGAAUUGGCACACAUGUGGGAUGCUGGCCUUGUAGGCAGUGACUUAACUCACUAUGCCACAGUGCCGGCCCCUCUUUUUUUUUUUUUUUUCUUAGUGUAGCUAAGGGUUUAUCAUUUUUAGCUAUCUUUUUGAAGAACCAGCUCUUCACUUAAUUAUUAUUUUGCAUUAU